GAUGAACGCUGGCGGCGUGCCUAAUACAUGCAAGUCGAGCGAACAGACGAGGAGCUUGCUCCUCUGACGUUAGCGGCGGACGGGUGAGUAACACGUGGAUAACCUACCUAUAAGACUGGGAUAACUUGCGGAAACCGGAGCUAAUACCGGAUAAUAUAUUGAACCGCAUGGUUCAAUAGUGAAAGACGGUUUUGCUGUCACUUAUAGAUGGAUCCGCGUCGCAUUAGCUAGUUGGUAAGGUAACGGCUUACCAAGGCGACGAUGCGUAGCCGACCUGAGAGGAUGAUCGGCCACACUGGAACUGAGACACGGUCCAGACUCCUACGGGAGGCAGCAGUAGGGAAUCUUCCGCAAUGGGCGAAAGCCUGACGGAGCAACGCCGCGUGAGUGAUGAAGGUCUUCGGAUCGUAAAACUCUGUUAUUAGGGAAGAACAAAUGUGUAAGUAACUAUGCACGUCUUGACGGUACCUAAUCAGAAAGCCACGGCUAACUACGUG
rnacentral:rRNA from 1 species